rnacentral:rRNA from 1 species
GUGGGGAAUAUUGGACAAUGGGCGCAAGCCUGAUCCAGCCAUGCCGCGUGAGUGAUGAAGGCCUUAGGGUUGUAAAGCUCUUUCAGUGGGGACGAUAAUGACGGUACCCACAGAAGAAGCCCCGGCUAACUUCGUGCCAGCAGCCGCGGUAAUACGACGGGGGCUAGCGUUGUUCGGAUUUACUUGGCGUAACGCGCACGUAGGCGGAUCGUUCAGUCGGGGGUGAAAUCCUGGAGCUCAACUCCAGAACUGCCUUCGAUACUGGCGAUCUUGAGUCCGGAAGAGGUGAGUGGAACUCCGAGUGUAGAGGUGGAAUUCGUAGAUAUUAGGAAGAACACCAGUGGCGAAGGCGGCUCACUGGUCCGGUACUGACGCUGAGGUGCGAAAGCGUGGGGAGCAAACAGGAUUAGAAACCCUGGUAGUCC